UGGGCCCUCCCCCUCUCAACAGUUGAAGAGGUGAAGGGAGAGGUUAAGUAAGGCUCUGCUCAGUUGUGAGGCAACAGAAGGCAGGAUCAGUGCUGACCUCCGCCAUGGCCUGGUCCCCUCUCCUCCUCACCCUCCUCGCUCACUGCACAGGGAUUUGGGCUCAGUCGGGGCCGAAUCAACCAUCCUCAGUGUCUGGGGCCCUGGGCCAGAGGGUCACUAUCUCCUGCACUGGAGUUGGUAGUUACGUGGACUGGUACCAACAAAUCCCAGGAAUGGCCCCCAAAACCAUCAUCUAUGGUAAUAGCUACCGACCCUCAGGGGUCCCUGAUCGAUUCUCCGGCUCCAAGUCUGGCAGCACAGGCACCCUGACCAUCACUGGGCUCCAGGCCGAGGACGAGGCUGAUUAUUACUGCGUAUCGUGGUACAGCAGUGGCAAAACUUGUGUGGAGGCUCCUAUAGGAAGGAGUCCUCUGAGGAGACAUGCAUCCUUGAGAAAGAAGGAAAAAGACACAGAUCAUGCUGUUGCCUGA